rnacentral:rRNA from 1 species
ACUCCUACGGGAGGCAGCAGUGGGGAAUAUUGCACAAUGGGGGAAACCCUGAUGCAGCCAUGCCGCGUGUGUGAAGAAGGCCUUCGGGUUGUAAAUCGCUUUCAGUAGGGAGGAAAGGUAAUAACUUAAUACCAUGUAGCUGUGACGUUACCUCGGGAAGAAGGACCGGCUAACUCCGUGCCAGCAGCCGCGGUAAUAC